rnacentral:rRNA from 1 species
GAUGAACGCUGGCGGCGUGCCUAAUACAUGCAAGUCGAGCGAACAGAUAAGGAGCUUGCUCCUUUGACGUUAGCGGCGGACGGGUGAGUAACACGUGGAUAACCUACCUAUAAGACUGGGAUAACUUCGGGAAACCGGAGCUAAUACCGGAUAACAUAUUGAACCGCAUGGUUCAAUAGUGAAAGGCGGCUUUGCUGUCACUUAUAGAUGGAUCCGCGCCGUAUUAGCUAGUUGGUAAGGUAACGGCUUACCAAGGCAACGAUACGUAGCCGACCUGAGAGGGUGAUCGGCCACACUGGAACUGAGACACGGUCCAGACUCCUACGGGAGGCAGCAGUAGGGAAUCUUCCGCAAUGGGCGAAAGCCUGACGGAGCAACGCCGCGUGAGCGAUGAAGGUCUUCGGAUCGUAAAACUCUGUUAUCAGGGAAGAACAAAUGUGUAAGUAACUGUGCACAUCUUGACGGUACCUGAUCAGAAAGCCACGGCUAACUACGUG